rnacentral:rRNA from 1 species
GACAGAGGGUGCAAACGUUGUUCGGAAUUACUGGGCGUAAAGCGCGUGUAGGCUGCUCAGAAAGUCGGAUGUGAAAGCCCUGGGCUUAACCUAGGAAGUGCAUUCGAAACUUCUGAGCUUGAGUUCUGGAGAGGAAGGCGGAAUUCUCGGUGUAGAGGUGAAAUUCGUAGAUAUCAAGAGGAACACCUGCGGCGAAGGCGGGUUGCUGGGCCGACACUGACGCUGAGGCGCGAAAGCUAGGGGAGCGAACGGG